GUGUCGACUAGAGUGCUACUUAUAGUUCCUUUCAAUCGUGAAUAACAAUAUAACAUUACAUUAAAAAUUACAUAAUAAUAAAUAUAUUGAAAGGAAUUAUAGGUAGCGCUCUAGCCGACAC